UGGGGGAUAUUGCACAAUGGGCGAAAGCCUGAUGCAGCGACGCCGCGUGGGGGAUGAAGGCCUUCGGGUUGUAAACUUCUUUUGCUCUGAGCAAGGCGCACCAUGGGGUGUGUUGAGUGUAGGGGUUGAUUAGCGCCGGCUAACUACGUGCCAGCAGCCGCGGUAAUACGUAGGGCGCGAGCGUUGUCCGGAAUUAUUGGGCGUAAAGGGCUUGUAGGUGGCUGGUUGCGUCUGUCGUGAAAGCUCAUGGCUUAACUGUGGGUUUGCGGUGGGUACGGGCUGGCUUGAGUGCAGUAGGGGAGGCUGGAAUUCCUGGUGUAGCGGUGGAAUGCGCAGAUAUCAGGAGGAAUACCGGUGGCGAAGGCGGGUCUCUGGGCUGUUACUGACACUGAGGAGCGAAAGCAUGGGGAGCGAACAGG
rnacentral:rRNA from 1 species